GUAGUCCACGCCGUAAACGAUGAAUACUAGGUGUGGGGGUUAUCAUGACUUCCGUGCCGCAGUUAACACAAUAAGUAUUCCGCCUGGGGAGUACGGUCGCAAGAUUAAAACUCAAAGGAAUUGACGGGGGCCCGCACAAGCAGCGGAGCAUGUGGUUUAAUUCGAAGCAACGCGAAGAACCUUACCUAGACUUGACAUCUCCUGAAUUACUCGUAACGGAGGAAGCCCUUCGGGGCAGGAAGACAGGUGGUGCAUGGUUGUCGUCAGCUCGUGUCGUGAGAUGUUGGGUUAAGUCCCGCAACGAGCGCAACCCUUAUUGUUAGUUGCUACCAUUAAGUUGAGCACUCUAGCAAGACUGCCGCGGUUAACGCGGA
rnacentral:rRNA from 1 species